GGCGGAUGGUUCAGAUUUCGUCUGUUCUGUCUGCCCGGACGAUUUUGUUGGUUCGUUCGUGGUUCUCUUAACCGAGUGCCACGGGUGGCCAGCACGUUUACUUUGAAAAAAUUGGAGUGCUCAAAGCAGUCGCUACAGCCUGAACAUUAGUGCAUGGAAUAAUGGAAUAGGAUCUCGGUUCUAUUUCGUUGGCUUUCGGAGUCGAGGUAAUGAUUAAUAGGAACAGACGGGGGCAUUCGUACUGCGACGUUAGAGGUGAAAUUCUUGGAUCGUCGCAAGACGAACUACUGCGAAAGCAUUUGCCAAGAAUGUUUUCAUUAAUCAAGAACGAAAGUUAGAGGUUCGAAGGCGAUCAGAUACCGCCCUAGUUCUAACCAUAAACGUUGCCAACUGGUGAUCUGCCGUCGUUACUUGUAUGACUCGGCAGGCAACCUCCGGGAAACCAAAGUCUUUGGGUUCCGGGGGAAGUAUGGUUGCAAAGCUGAACUUAAAGGAAUUGACGGAAGGCACCAC
rnacentral:rRNA from 1 species